UGGUUCUGGCAUCGAUGAAGAACGCAGCGAAAUGCGAUAAUUAAUGUGAAUUGCAGAAUUUAGUGAAUCAUCGAAUCUUUGAACGCACAUUGCGCCCCUUGGUAUUCCGGGGGGCAUGCCUGUUCGAGCGUCAUUUCAACCCUCAAGCUCCGCUUGGUAUUGGGCCGUGCCGGCGACGGCAGGCCUCAAACGUGGUGGCGGCGCCCCCGUGCCCCUCAGCGCAGUAAUUCUUCUCGCUGCUGGGUCGCGGCGGGCGGUGGCCAGCAAACCCCCGAUAUUCUAUGGUUGACCUCGGAUCAGGUAGGGAUACCCGCUGA
rnacentral:misc_RNA from 1 species